CAGUAGCCACGGUAAUACAGAGGGUGCGAGCGUUACUCGGAAUUACUGGGCGUAAAGCGUGCGUAGGUGGUGGUUUAAGUCCGUUGUGAAAGCCCUGGGCUCAACCUGGGAAUUGCAGUGGAUACUGGGUCACUAGAGUGUGGUAGAGGAUAGUGGAAUUUCCGGUGUAGCAGUGAAAUGCGUAGAGAUCGGAAGGAACAUCUGUGGCGAAGGCGACUAUCUGGGCCAACACUGACACUGAGGCACGAAAGCAUGGGGAGCAAACAGGAUUAGAUACCCCCGUAGUCCCUGUCUCUUAUAC
rnacentral:rRNA from 1 species